rnacentral:rRNA from 1 species
GAUGAACGCUAGCUACAGGCUUAACACAUGCAAGUCGAGGGGUAACGAGAGGAAAGCUUGCUUUCCUUGUCGACGACCGGCGCACGGGUGAGUAACGCGUAUCCAACCUGCCCCCAACUAGGGAAUAACCUUGCGAAAGUAAGACUAAUACCCUAUAAUUUCCUCAGAUGUCAUCUGACGAGGAAUAAAGAUUUAUCGGUUGUGGAUGGGGAUGCGUCUGAUUAGCUUGUUGGCGGGGUAACGGCCCACCAAGGCAACGAUCAGUAGGGGUUAUGAGAGGAAGGUCCCCCACAUUGGAGCUGGGACACGGUCCGAAAUCCUACGGGAGGAAGGAGUAAGGGAUAUUGGGCAAUGGGCGGGAGCCUGGGCGAGCGAAGUAGGGUGCAGGAUGACGGCCCUAUUGGUUGUAAACUGCUUUUAUACAGGAAUAAAGUUAGCCAAGUGUGGUUAUUUGUAGGUACUGUAUGAAUAAGGACCGGCUAAUUCCGUGCCAGCAGCCGCCGUAA